GGAACAGCUGCAGCCAGGUCAGCACUGGCUCCCACUAAGGCCAGCUGCAUGCUCAGGUGUGGCAGAAAGACAGUGCCAGGCACACAGGCAAGGACGAAGAAGCACGCUGGUCGCUACUGCUACAGAUGGAACACAGGGUCUUACACACUAGGGAGGUGUUCUGCAAUGAGUCCCAAGUCCACAGGGGACUCAGCUGUCACGGUGCAUUGGGCACAGUGUAUGCAGCUGACUCAAGACGUGCUGCAACAUAGCUAACUCCAGCAUCUUCCUGAAAGUUAAUGUCCACAAUCUGAACUUUGAAGACCCUUUGACAAGAGAAGGGAAGUCCCUGUAAGUGGGAGCCCACACAUCCUUGCCUAAUUUUCAAAGGAAAAGUCUUUGGUCUUCUUACUGGCUUCAGUGUACAACUGCAAAUGCUAGGCAGGCAACGAGCACACGGCCAAUAGGAAAUGCCACGGUCGGCCUAGUUCGGCACCCCCAGAAGGCAGUCACAAAAGGUCGGGGACUAACAAGUGUUUCUCCUCGCCUGUGAUGCUGUACCUGCUCUUGCCACGUGGGACAGGGGCCACCCUAUAGCAUCAUACCCUCUUGAUACUGACUUAACAUAAACAUGUGGCGGACAAGAGACGUGACCUAAGGAAUCUAAGACAGCUCUUGGCGCUCUGCUGUUUCCACAAAACCUCAACGGCUGCAGAGAAAAGCCCAGUCUCCAGCAACAAGAGCCCCGCACCUGCACCACUGCCUGGCUGAGACCUGAGACAGCCCCACAGAGGACAAUUUCAGAGUCUCUGCACCUGUGGCCUCAGAUCACUUCUCUUCAGCAGGAGCUUCAACUUCUGACAACUGAAGCCCCCCAGGCUAAAGACAGUCUGACUGAAACUCGGCCGUCUCCACCUCCUCCCGGGAUCAGAAGUGGAGGUCAUUUUGCAAUCAAUACUAGCAAUUUACCAAGACUCACUGAGAACAGUAGGCAGGUGUGUGUAUGUGUGGCGAGAGAGAGGGGAGAGGAGAGGAAGAGAGAGAGAUUGAUUAAAGGAUUAAGAGCCCUGGGAAAAUUCCCAGAAGGGAUUAGGAGUUACUGUAAUGAAGAAGGGAAUGGCAACAAUUCUCCCCAUUUUAUAGGAAGGAAAACAAAGGCCUGAAAUGCAA